UCAUCAUCCCCAAACCGAAACCCUAGCGACGCUGCCCUAAUUUCCACCGUUUGUCACCGGCGGCGCUGUUCCCAAAUCGCCCCAAACUAACACCCUACAACCCCCAUGAUCCCCUCAUACCAAAUCCUCAACUACUUUCCUUCAAAUCUGUCGGGAGCUCUGCGAAUCUGGAAUCCGAAUUCAACCCCCAAAAAGUUCAAAGUCAUUUUUCACAUGCACGUUCAGGGAGCUAUAUUCUUUCAAACUCUAAGGUUUGGACUCGGCGAAACUGAUGUCAUUCAGUUGUUCUUGACAAAGAACAAGGGAUCGACAUAAGUUUGGCUAAGUUCUUUGUCCCCGUCCGGUUUCGAGGUUCGAUUUGGUGAGUCCCUUUCCCUCUCCGGUUUCCUUUCUGUCAUCCUCAUCUUUCCCUUUCUUAAAACUAGUUUUCUUAUAAUAAUUUGGUUGAAAAUUCAAUUCAUCUUCUGAGUCCAAGUUUGUUCUUCCGUUCGUUAUCUCUCUUUUUCUUCAUGAAUUCCGUUUUGUGACAUUUUAGUUUGUUAAACAGGUUAAGUUUCUAGUUCGUUAAAUCACUUAAUUAGGUCUUAAUUUAGUUGAUUUCCUGUUAAUUAGCUCAUUCAUCUUUGUCUCUGCUUGUUUGCAUUUUAAAGAAGGGGUUCUGGGUUUUCUUGUAGGGAAAUUUUGGUCAGUCUUUCAAGUUAGGAAUCCCUGAUGGAUUUUAAUUGGACUCCGAAAAUCAGAAAGCCCAAGCGGGGAUUUAAAUUGGGUUUGCAGACCCCUACCAAUUUGAGUCGGAUCAGUGUGACCUAUACUUGGGUUGGAGGAGUAGUUUUCAGAGGUUUAAAGGGUAGUUUGGGUAGUCUAGGUAAGGGGAUCUUUGGGUAACUGAUUAGGAAGCUUCUAAGAAGCUGGGGAGGGGGACUAUUGUGAAGUUCUGAGAUUUAAAAUAGGGAUACCUAAGCUAAAAUGAAAAUUAGAAAAUGUGCAAAGUGCAAAAAUUGAUCCAUUAGGCUGCUCUAAUAGCUUGCCUAUAAAAACACCUUACCUUGCAUUUCAAGGCAGAUUUUAAGGAAUAAAAAUUCUAGAAAAAACAAAAAUAACUGAAACAUUUUGACAAACACUGUUCUAUUGAAUUUCAUGCUUUGGAUCUUAAAGUUUUCAUUCCCUGAAUCAGUUUCUACUUUACUUUGGGGUUGAAAUGAAUUGAGGUCGAAGCCUUUUGAAUCUGGUUUGGAUUUUGCUGGGGUUCGAGUGCGUUUUUGAGUGAUGAUUUCUUGAUCUGAGUCUCCUGCUGUUGUUCUCUUUGAAUUCCCUCUGAGUUUUGGUUUCUUUUGCUGAUCAUUCAGGUACACUUCUGCAUUUCACAUAAUGUAAGAUUUGAUUUGGAAUCAAGAUGGCAUUCGGAGCUUUGAUUAGCAGUUGUAAUCAGUUUUUUGGUUCAUGAUUUAGUUUACUUGGUUUACUUGCUUAAGUUUCUAGUUUAUGAUAAAUGACAUCCUACUAGUUGUUAAUAAAUACCAUGUUGUGAGCUGCAUCUGGUUGUAAAUCAGUAGAGAAAUCUAGUUUCUUAUUUGGAUGUCUCCUAGUUAAUUGUUGGCAAUUUGAAUAGGGUAUUGAACUUGAGAAUCAUAUAUUAUAAAUUAAUGUAAUGGCAAUGUGCUGC
rnacentral:lncRNA from 1 species